CUAAGAAUCUUCCACAAUGGACGAAAGUCUGAUGGAGCGACGCCGCGUGGGUGAAGAAGGCGGUAACGUUGUAAAGCCCUUUUAUGGUCGAGGCGGUAGCUUAUGAAUAAGCCCCGGCUAAUUACGUGCCAGCAGCCGCGGUAACACGUAUGGGGCGAGCGUUGUUCGGAAUUAUUGGGCGUAAAGGGUGCGCAGGCGGUUAUCAAGUCUGGUGUUAAAUCCCGCAGCUUAACUGCGGAGCGGCAUUGGAAACUGUAUGACUAGAGUUCGUGAGGGGUAGCUGGAAUUCCAGGUGUAGGGGUGAAAUCUGUAGAUAUCUGGAAGAACAUCAAUGGCGAAGGCAAGCUACUGGCACUGAACUGACGCUGAGGCACGAAAGCGUGGGGAGCAAACAGGAUUAGAUACCCCUGUAGU
rnacentral:rRNA from 1 species